GCUGCAGCUUCUCAAGCUCCUUGUUGAUUUUCUGCACAUCAGCCACCGUGGUGCCAGCGGACAGGCGGCGACCUUCUGGCUUCGUGUACUCAGCACAGAGACUGAGGAUGGUCUCCAGCCGCUGCCGCUCCUACAGCGAGGAAGUAGGCAAGAUUACAUGGUCUCCAGAUUUGUGCUGGCUGGUGAAAUGCAAGAAGCAAUGGAGAACAUACCUGUACAACAGACUGGUAUGAAAUAUUACAUGUCUUCCUUAGCUAUGACAGACUGAGCCCAGCUAGUACUGGCUCCGUCUGUCUUGGUUCCCAGAAAGGAAGUAUGGAGCAGAAGUCUUCAUCAACCUACACUGGCCAUGAAAUAUUUAAAAGAAAUAGAUCUAUGCUAUUU